GUCUCUUUGUAAAAUAUAAAUAGAGAGUCGGGCCUGCUCGGUGAACAAGUUUUUAACAGCUGCGGUAUUUUAACUGUACUAAGGUAGCAUAAUAAUUUGCCUUAUAAUUUGAGGCUAGAAUGAAUGGUUUGACGAAGGUUAAUCUGUCUCCAUCUUAUUUUUUAGAAGUUAAUUUUUAAAGUGAAAAAGCUUAAAUUUUUCAAAGGGACGAGAAGACCCUAAUGAGCUUAUAAUUUUAUUAUCAUUAUUUAAAACAUUUAGGUGGUGGUAUAUAAAUUUUAAUUGGGGUGAUUAAGGAAUAAAUUGUGUAUAGUAACUUCCUUAAACUAGGUAUUUGUAGAUAAAGUAACCAAUGUAAUAUUGCUUAUAGUAUAGUUACCAUAGGGAUAACAGCGUAAUUUGUUUAGAGAGUUCUUAUUGAAAAACGAGAUUGCGACCUCGAUGUUGGAUUAAAGUAACCCUAAGGUGCAGAAGCUUUAGUAGGUAAAUCUGUUCGAUUUUUAAUACUUUACAU
rnacentral:rRNA from 1 species